rnacentral:rRNA from 1 species
GAUGAACGCUGGCGGCGUGCCUAAUACAUGCAAGUCGAGCGAACAGACGAGGAGCUUGCUCCUCUGACGUUAGCGGCGGACGGGUGAGUAACACGUGGAUAACCUACCUAUAAGACUGGGAUAACUUCGGGAAACCGGAGCUAAUACCGGAUAAUAUAUUGAACCGCAUGGUUCAAUAGUGAAAGACGGUUUUGCUGUCACUUAUAGAUGGAUCCGCGCCGCAUUAGCUAGUUGGUAAGGUAACGGCUUACCAAGGCAACGAUGCGUAGCCGACCUGAGAGGGUGGUCGGCCACACUGGAACUGAGACACGGUCCAGACUCCUGCGGGAGGCAGCAGUAGGGAAUCUUCCGCAAUGGGCGAAAGCUUGACGGAGCAACGCCGCGUGAGUGAUGAAGGUCUUCGGAUCGUAAAACUCUGUUAUUAGGGAAGAACAAAUGUGUAAGUAACUAUGCACGUCUUGACAGUACCUAAUCAGAAAGCCACGGCUAACUACGUG